UCACAGGAAGAGGCUUGGUGGCUACAGAAAGACAGAAAGAUGCCUGACCUGCUUCCAGCUGCUUCAGCCCCCCCACUGUCCCAUCUCCAGACACGUCAAACUGCAACUGGAUGACAGACAUUAAGCUGGAACUUUGCAGAACAAAUUCCAUGAAUAAUAGGACUUGGUCCAGGCUCCUAACCAUCUUUCAUCCUUGGGUGUAUCCAUCGGCCUAGGAACACCUAACACCACGUGAUGUUUAAUCCUACAGCAAACCAUCGACACUUUCAGCUUGAAUGAUCAUGUAUCACUUAGUUUUCAAGUUUAAUUCAAGUGCAUCUACCUCUUCUCCACUGUUGACACCAGAAAACUCCCUUCCAUAUGCCCUUGUGGAACUCACUAUACUUCGUUCAACAAACGUUCAGUGACUACCUGCUAUGUGUCCAGAAUAAAUUAAGAAUACAGUU
rnacentral:lncRNA from 1 species